rnacentral:rRNA from 1 species
GGUUAGGCCGGGAACUCAAAGGAGACUGCCAGUGAUAAACUGGAGGAAGGUGGGGAUGACGUCAAGUCAUCAUGGCCCUUACGACCAGGGCUACACACGUGCUACAAUGGCGCAUACAAAGAGAAGCGACCUCGCGAGAGCAAGCGGACCUCAUAAAGUGCGUCGUAGUCCGGAUUGGAGUCUGCAACUCGACUCCAUGAAGUCGGAAUCGCUAGUAAUCGUGGAUCAGAAUGCCACGGUGAAUACGUUCCCGGGCCUUGUACACACCGCCCGUCACACCAUGGGAGUGGGUUGCAAAAGAAGUAGGUAGCUUAACCUUCGGGAGGGCGCUUACCACUUUGUGAUUCAUGACUGGGGUGAAGUCGUAACAAGGUAACCGUAGGGGAACCUGCGGUUGGAUCACCUCCUUACCUUAAAGAAGC